UGCCAGCCGCCGCGGUAAUACAGAGGUGGCGAACGUUGUUCGGAUUUACUGGGCGUAAAGGGUCCGCAGGCGGAUCGGUAUGUCAGAUGUGAAAGCCCACGGCUUAACCCCGGAAGUGCAUUGGAAACUGGCGAACUUGAGUACGGGAGAGGAAAGUGGAAUUCCGAGUGUAGGGGUGAAAUCCGUAGAUAUUCGGAGGAACACCAGUGGCGAAGGCGGCUUUCUGGACCGAUACUGACGCUGAGACGCGAAAGCGUGGGGAGCAAACAGGAUUAGAUA
rnacentral:rRNA from 1 species